UACAUGUUCCUUAGAUCCACCUCUGGGGGGCGCUCUUGUGCUACUGUAGCUGUUCCAUUUUUCUGGGUGUUGCAGCUCAAGCCCAGAUGCCCUCAGUUGCUUGAUGGCUGUAUAGUUGGGGUUGCUUGAGUCAUUGGCAUGUGAGGAUAGUCUUACCUGUUUCUCAGCCCAUACACUGGGCCUUUACUGGACUUGUAACAAGUGCAGGCAGGCUGGAGAACAAACAUA